AGGCACUUCACCACUAGGUCAAAUGACGAGGAAUCAUCCUAUAGAGUUCAUCAGAAUUUGGACAAGGAUCAUUGAGUUUGAAUGAAGAUGUAGCCAAUUUGGCAUAUGGGUCAAUUAAACCAUUUUUGUUUGUUUAUUUUCAUGAACAUUCAAUACAAGUUGGAACAACACCCAAUUCGGCAUAGAAGCAUAUAAAGAAUUUUUGUACACAGUGGUUAAGAGCUGAAAUGUUUUGGUUGUUGAAUUUUUUGUACAUUUCACGAACAUGCCAUACAAAUUUUUUGGUUGUUGGAGA